AUCCUUUUUGUUGGUUCACAUAUAUGGGGACUGGGUAUCCACGCAUUGGAGUGGCAUGUGCCUCCCAGAAACCUUGCUAUGACACUGGCACAUUACCCAUCUGACA